GACGAACGCUGGCGGCGUGCUUAACACAUGCAAGUCGAACGGAAAGACGCUGCUUUUGUGGGGUUCUCGAGUGGCGAACGGGUGAGUAACACGUGAGUAACCUGCCCUUGACUUUGGGAUAACUUCAGGAAACUGGGGCUAAUACCGGAUAGGAGCUCCUGCUGCAUGGUGGGGGUUGGAGAGUUUCGGCGGUUGGGGAUGGACUCGCGGGGUAUGCGCUUGUUGGUGGGGUAGUGGCCUACCAAGGCGUUGAUGGGUAGACGACCGGAGAGGGUGAACAGCGGCAUUAGAGGGUGAACGGGCACCAGGGUCCUGCGAGAGGGCGCAGUAGGGAACGGGAGGCAGUAGGCGGGAACCUGGCCCAACGGGGCGAAGUGUGAGGCAGAAGCCUUGGGUGCGUGAAGCCGUCUUUUGGGGUGAAAACCGCUUUCGCCUGUGACGAAGCGGGAGUGACGGUACCGGGUAAAGAAGCACCGGCUAACUACGUG
rnacentral:rRNA from 1 species